GUCUGUUCAAUUCUUGCUCCAAGAUUAUUCGCUACAUUUUUUUUUUUUUUUGCCUCACUUCUAGGUGGAUGGAUAAUGGCAGAAAUCAGAUGGUUUCAGCAUACUACCUAUCUGGAGUACUUAAGGAAGAGAUGGUGGAAGGAUCCCCCCCGGAGUAUAGUUUUAACUCUUCAGGAAUCCUUUUUCUAAUGGCUGGAGCCCUCUGAGCUGAGGUGACUUGGGAAAGAGAGGCAGUUUAUAAAUUAUAGGAUGCACAAAAUAGCCCUUCCAGGAGCUCUCUGAGAAUGGGUUUUUUUUUUCUUUCCCCAGGUCCCUUCCUACCAGUUGCUGUUUCUUCUGUAGAAACACUUGUUGCAGUUAAACCAGAAGAAACCAGCUUGUGCUUUGGUGCUGGGUUUGUGCCGGUGAGUUCAAUUUCUUGCUUGAUAGGACAGGUUCUGAUCCACUGUUGAAUGCAGCUGUAAGAAUUCAGGUUUAAAGAAGCAAGUCUCCCCCAAGAUGGAGGUGAAAGCAGGAGAUGAGCAUGCCGAUGCAGACAAGCAAGCAUUCUGAAAACUUCAAACGGGCCAAGAAACAUAAUCUCCAGUAUCUGAAACAGUUUGUCCUGCUUACUCCUGUUCCUCUAUUCACGUCUUCUUCCUAGAAUUCUAAACCCUCUGGCCUCUUGUGAAGCACUCUGUCUUGCUGAACUACCCACUACUCUUAUUCUACAAAGACGGUCCCCACUUUGGAUGGUUCAGUGUAAAAACCAAGGGUUGAGACUGUGUGUCAAAGAUGUCAUGACAAGUCCUCCAAAAAGCAGCUUGUUUUGCUUCCCCUGUUGGGAGCCUAGCAUGCAAGUUCCCAUUUCAUAGAGAAGUUGUGCAUGUGUGUGUGAUUAAAGGGCAAAGCGCUCAACACUCUAGCUUAUACCAGGGGUGGGCAGUUAUUUCAGGCGUAGGGCCACUUUACUGAGUUUUGGCAAGCCAUUGAGGGCCGCGUGACAGGCAGCCGGGGUAGACAAAUAUUAAUUUUCUAAAUUUUUUACG
rnacentral:lncRNA from 1 species